rnacentral:lncRNA from 1 species
ACUCUUAAAUGACAGUAACUCAGUUUAUUGUUAAAUGACAAUACUCCAGAAAGGAGUGAUUCAGUACUUUGAUUACCUUGGACUAACACUAAUCAUGCAAACAUCAUCACCCAUUGUUGAAAACAGCAAUCCAAUUAUUUGUCCUUUUCCAUCGGUAAGCAAGUACGGGCCCUAAACCCAGUUGCACUUGGGGUUAUCUAGCUGAUGGAUAAGCUGAUCAGCCUCACAUUUCACUUUCUUCCUCCUUUGCUAUGGACUUGGGUAAUCUAGCAGAUUUCUAUGCAUUGUUGGUUGGUGCGAAAAAUAACUAACCCAACAAAGUCUCAUGUGGCUCUAGAUUAGCAGUAAGUCUGUCAAAAUGUUGGUCAAGAUGGCAAGAUUUUGCGAAAGGAAGUUGGCACAUAUAUCAUGUGAAUAACUACAGAAGGAAGUUAAUUUUUUCUUAGAAAACAUAGAAGAAAGUGAGAAGCAGGACGAACGGAUAAACUGCAUUUGAUAGGGAUGACAGUAAAUUCAGUUAACUAA